CCAGUCUGCAUGGAGCCGACCUUGAAAUACCACCCUUUAAUGUUUGAUGUUCUAACGUUGACCCGUGAUCCGGGUUGCGGACAGUGUCUGGUGGGUAGUUUGACUGGGGCGGUCUCCUCCUAAAGAGUAACGGAGGAGCACGAAGGUUGGCUAAUCCUGGUCGGACAUCAGGAGGUUAGUGCAAUGGCAUAAGCCAGCUUGACUGCGAGCGUGACGGCGCGAGCAGGUGCGAAAGCAGGUCAUAGUGAUCCGGUGGUUCUGAAUGGAAGGGCCAUCGCUCAACGGAUAAAAGGUACUCCGGGGAUAACAGGCUGAUACCGCCCAAGAGUUCAUAUCGACGGCGGUGUUUGGCACCUCGAUGUCGGCUCAUCACAUCCUGGGGCUGAAGUAGGUCCCAAGGGUAUGGCUGUUCGCCAUUUAAAGUGGUACGCGAGCUGGGUUUAGAACGUCGUGAGACAGUUCGGUCCCUAUCUGCCGUGGGCGCUGGAGAACUGAGGGGGGCUGCUCCUAGUACGAGAGGACCGGAGUGGACGCAUCACUGGUGUUCGGGUUGUCAUGCCAAUGGCACUGCCCGGUAGCUAAAUGCGGAAGAGAUAAGUGCUGAAAGCAUCUAAGCACGAAACUUGCCCCGAGAUGAGUUCUCCCUGACCCUUUAAGGGUCCUGAAGGAACGUUGAAGACGACGACGUUGAUAGGCCGGGUGUGUAAGCGCAGCGAUGCGUUGAGCUAACCGGUACUAAUGAACCGUGAGGCUUAACCUUACAACGCCGAAGCUGUU
rnacentral:rRNA from 1 species